rnacentral:lncRNA from 1 species
CGGCCAUCUUCGUUGGUAGGCGGGGUCAUUAGACACUUUUUUUUUAAAAAUAGAUACCCUAGUAUUAUGAUUGUGGCCAAGUUUGGUUAAAUUUGGCCAAGUAGUUUUAGAAAUGAUUUUUAUACAAGUUACAAAAAUGACGAAAAGUUGUUCAAUAUUGACUAUAAAGGGCAAUAACUCCUUAAGGGGUCCUCUAACAAUUUUGAUCAUGCUGACUUAUUUGUAGAUCUUACUUUGCUGAACAUUAUUGCUGUCUACAGUUUAUCUCUAUCUAUAAUAGUAUUCAAGAUAAUAACCAAAAACUGCAAAAUUACCUUAAAAUCACCAAUUUUAGGGCAGCAACCCAACAACAGGUUGUCCAAUUCAACUGAAAAUUUGUGAGGGGAUAUAUCUUAUUCUGAUGGACAUUUAAAUCUUGAAAGAUUUGCCCUAAAUGUCUUAGUUUCAAAGAUAUAAAGCAAAACCUGCAUUUUACCACUAUGUUCUAAUUUUAGCCAUGUCGGCCAUUUUGUUUGGUAGGCUGGGUCAUCGGACACAUUUUUUAAACUACAAACCACAAUGAUAAUUGUGGCCAAGUUUGGUUAAAUUUGGCAAAGUAGUUUCAGAGAAGAAGAUUUUUAAAAAAGUUACAAAAAAUGAUGAAAAGUUGUUAAAAAUUGACUAUAAAGGGCAAUAACUCCUUAAGGGGUCGACUGACAAUUUUGGUCAUGUUGACUUAUU